rnacentral:rRNA from 1 species
CUGCAAUGCGCGUGCUAUACAUGCAGUUGAGCGCUGAAGGUUGGUACUUGUACCAACUGGAUGAGCAGCGAACGGGUGAGUAACGCGUGGGGAAUCUGCCUUUGAGCGGGGGACAACAUUUGGAAACGAAUGCUAAUACCGCAUAAAAACUUUAAACACAAGUUUUAAGUUUGAAAGAUGCAAUUGCAUCACUCAAAGAUGAUCCCGCGUUGUAUUAGCUAGUUGGUGAGGUAAAGGCUCACCAAGGCGAUGAUACAUAGCCGACCUGAGAGGGUGAUCGGCCACAUUGGGACUGAGACACGGCCCAAACUCCUACGGGAGGCAGCAGUAGGGAAUCUUCGGCAAUGGACGAAAGUCUGACCGAGCAACGCCGCGUGAGUGAAGAAGGUUUUCGGAUCGUAAAACUCUGUUGGUAGAGAAGAACGUUGGUGAGAGUGGAAAGCUCAUCAAGUGACGGUAACUACCCAGAAAGGGACGGCUAACUACGUGCCAGCAGCCGCGGUAAUACGUAGGUCCCGAGCGUUGUCCGGAUUUAUUGGGCGUAAAGCGAGCGCAGGUGGUUUAUUAAGUCUGGUGUAAAAGGCAGUGGCUCAACCAUUGUAUGCAUUGGAAACUGGUAGACUUGAGUGCAGGAGAGGAGAGUGGAUUCCAUGUGUAGCGAUGAAAUGAUUACAUAUUUGGCCGCACGCACGUUUGUUAC